rnacentral:rRNA from 1 species
AAUAUUGCACAAUGGGCGCAAGCCUGAUGCAGCCAUGCCGCGUGUAUGAAGAAGGCCUUCGGUUGUAAAGUACUUUCAGCAGUGAGGAAGGCAGGUACCGUUAAUAGCGUACUUGUUUGACGUUAGCUGACAGAAGAAGCACCGGCUAACUCCCGUGCCAGCAGCCGCGGUAAUACGGAGGGUGCGAGCGUUAAUCGGAAUUACUGGGCGUAAAGCGCAUGCAGGUGGUUUGUUAAGUCAGAUGUGAAAGCCCGGGGCUCAACCUCGGAAUUGCAUUUGAAACUGGCAGACUAGAGUACUGUAGAGGGGGUAGAAUUUCAGGUGUAGCGGUGAAAUGCGUAGAGAUCUGAAGGAAUACCGGUGGCGAAGGCGGCCCCCCUGGACAGAUACUGACACUCAGAUGCGAAAGCGUGGGGAGCAAACAGGAUUAGAUACCCCUGGUAG